rnacentral:rRNA from 1 species
AUUUUGUACAAUGGGGGAAACCCUGAUCCAGCCAUCCCGCGGGUAUGGUGAAGGCNUUNNGGUUGNANAGUACUUUUGGCAGANNNNNAAAGGUAUCCCNUAAUACGGGAUACUGCUGACGGUAUCUGCAGAAUAAGCACCGGCUAACUACGUGUCAGCAGCCGGGGUAACACGUAGGGUGCAAGCGUUAAUCGGAAUUACUGGGCGUAAAGCGAGUGUAGGCGGUUCGGAAAGAAAGAUGUUAAAUCCCACGGCUCAACCUUGGAACUGCAUUUUUAACUGCCGAGCUAGAGUAUGUCAGAGGGGGGUAGAAUUCCACGUGUAGCAGUGAAAUGCGUAGAUAUGUGGAGGAAUACCGAUGGCGAAGGCAGCCCCCUGGGAUAAUACUGACGCUCAGACACGAAAGCGUGGGGAGCAAACAGG